rnacentral:lncRNA from 1 species
CCCUCUGACGAAGUACCUCAAAAGCUAAGCUCCCAUCAAUCCUGGCGAGAUACGAUCGGCAGGGCACAGUGCUGAAAUGAAUGGCUUAAAAGAACAGCAGAGACCAAAGAACUUUUUAUGCAGAGAAACCCCAAAUCUGGGGCAAAGCCCUCCUGCUCAUUUUAUCUCACAAAAGGUACGUAGUGCUGCCUGUCAAGGUAAUGCAUUACUACACUAUUUGGAAAAACUACAGUUCUAAUUAGAUGAGCAAAUAAAUGUUCAUUUCAAUUUAUUAAUAUAGCUGUAGGCCUUGUUACAAUUUAUCUCUUGGUUCUGAGGCCAAUCCAUCUCGAGCUGGGAUUCAUUGUGGUGAAGUAACGGGUUUUAAUAAUGGAUACGGGCGGUGAAUUAUUCAGGCAGAAGGGAGCAAAAGCCUUGAUGCCUUCUCUCACUUCUUUAAUUAACUGUGAGACGCUGACGAGUCUGGGCUGUCUCGGGGCUUUCUAACUUUAUCUCCAUCAGAACUGGAAUUUUUCCUGAGCCACAGAUAGGUUGGGUUCAGGCCCCUCCUUAUCCAUCACCAUUUUGUCCCCUGUUAGUCUGAAUUCCGUGCCACUUCUAGAGCAACGAACGUCAGUCCUGAUAAAACCCACACCUUUGUUCUGCUAAGAUUGUAACACAAGAAAAUCUGAAAUAUUUCACUCCCAUUUACAUUUGGAAACUAACCAGUAAACAAAGCCACAUCCAGUUCUGGCCACUUAAGCCCAUUUUGUUUGGUUUGAAGCCAUUUAUCUUGAUGGCUGAGGAAUAAGUGAACUUCGAGAAGAGAAUUUUUACAGUCUCCAUAUGAGGUAGCAUCAAACAAACAAAAUGAAAACUCUUACCAAAUGCAGGCUGCAUCUUUUGCACGGAACUGGGUGCUACUUACGGAGCUUUGCAAUGUGCCCAAGUGAUUCCUGUAAAUAAAAGCCUCUCAGCGCUUGGCACAGGACAAGCGACGGAACAUGUCCACGUCUGGCGAAUUUUCUCUUUUGCCUAACCCAAGAUUUUCUGACUGGGAACUACACCUAGCUCAUAGACUCUGUCCCACUGUAAGUCAAUGGUUUUGCUGUGAACACAUUAAUGAUGUGCUUGGAUAACCGAAUGCCCUUAUUUGGACAAUCUAUUUUGCUAUUACCUGUUCCUACAGAAGGGUUUUUUGGUUUGUUUUUUUUUAAGUGCCCCUAGACUGUAGUACGGCAAUUUAUUUAUGCUGUGACAAGAGAGUUCCUCUUUCAAAUUUAUCCCAUCGAGAGAAAGUAAGAAUCUGGGGGAGGUCUGAGCUUACCACUUCUUGGCAGAAAUUGAAUCACCAUUUCUAUAAAUCAAAAGUCAUGUUAAAAGCUCUGUGAAGUAAACAAUGAUGUAUAUGAAUUAGCAGCACAACGUAGUCAAUACAAAUCAAAGUGGCUUUAUGAGGGUAUUGAUGUUUUCAGCUCUUCUAAGGUUGAAUACAUUUUAAGUAUUUAUCCUCCGGGGCAUUGUUGAUCUAAAUGAAUCUAUUCACUUUGAAACCAGACCACGGUUGCAGUGAGAAGCACAAAGAUACACGCUGACCCCAUUGGGGCUCUACCCCUAACUGAGUGACCCCAGCUGUGGCCAGA